rnacentral:rRNA from 1 species
GUGGGGAAUAUUGGACAAUGGGCGAAAGCCUGAUCCAGCCAUGCCGCGUGUGUGAAGAAGGUCUUCGGAUUGUAAAGCACUUUAAGUUGGGAGGAAGGGCAGUAAGUUAAUACCUUGCUGUUUUGACGUUACCGACAGAAUAAGCACCGGCUAACUUCGUGCCAGCAGCCGCGGUAAUACGAAGGGUGCAAGCGUUAAUCGGAAUUACUGGGCGUAAAGCGCGCGUAGGUGGUUUUGUAAGUUGGAGGUGAAAUCCCCAGGCUCAACCUGGGAACUGCCUCCAAAACUGCAUGACUAGAGUACGGUAGAGGGUAGUGGAAUUUCCUGUGUAGCGGUGAAAUGCGUAGAUAUAGGAAGGAACACCAGUGGCGAAGGCGACUACCUGGACUGAUACUGACACUGAGGUGCGAAAGCGUGGGGAGCAAACAGGAUUAGAAACCCCGGUAGUCC